GCAAAGGAGGGGGUUUGGAUUUCUUUUUUUUUUUUUUUUUUUUUUGCAGGGAGUGGGAAAGUGAUGGGGACUGCAGAGGAGUCUGUUACAAAAUCAGAUGCAAUUUUAGCUGUCUGAAAGAGUUGCUUUAGGCUACAGGCAGCUGAUGAUCAAUGGUGCUGUUGGCAAAUAUGCUUUCAGCUGGCUGCUGUCUCUCCUGAGGGACAGUUUCAGCCCAAGAUCCAUUGCAGUGGUGGUACGGCAAGGGAUUUCAUUUGCUUUGGGCUAAGGACCUUCUGCCGCCCAGUUCCACCAGUGAACCAAAGAGAAGAAAAGCUGGAGGUGAUGAGGGAGAGACACAGCACUGUCAUUGGUGAGUUAUUUGCUGUUCCUUUCUCCUCAAAUCCCCACGGUGGGUCUGUGUUAGAAGAUCUUAUGCAAAACCCUGUACUCUUGAGCUAAGGGUUUGCUAAUGGAUGAUCAGGCUGUGCUGGUGUAGGCUCUGCCUUUCAGGAGAUACUGCAGAAAUAGGUUUAAAUGAUUCAGCUGAUCAGAAACCUGGCCUAUGGCCUCUACCCUAGCUUUUUAAUUUUCAUUGGUUUAUUUUGUUUGUUUGUUUAUCUCCUAAGCUGAUAUGAAGGAAAGAUAGAAAGAGCCUGCUGAAGGUCAAGGCGAGCCUCACCAUCAGUUCAUCCGAAUGUUGAUAUUCACCAGUAGAAAUCCGUGCCCACAGGUACUGGAAGUCUCCUCAGCAAGAGAAACAACAUUGCUGCAGGGGACAAACAACUAGUCCUGACCUUCUUUACACAGCCCUUCUCUGGGAAAAAGCAUCCCCUGAAGUCAAUAUACAUUCUGCCUAGCUUUCAUCCGAAGAAAAACGUCUGGAUUGAAAUGGCAACAACAAAUAAUAGGUAAAGGAUGCUUCCCUGUGGCUUCAUAGAUCUGCUGUGUAAGAGAAAACAUUCAGCCCUGGGUGCACAAGAGUUGUGGUUCACGUCUCCCUCUGAAGAAGCCUCAUUUUAAAUAAUGUUGUAGCAUACCUACUGAAUGCAGAUGCUGCGCUGCAGGCAUUUUGGGCAGUGAAUUUCAGCCUGUGCCCUUGGCUAGGCUGUUGAGGACAAGUUCCAAUACCCGUCCUUCUUUCAGAGAUGCCAGUCCAUCUUCAGCCAUGUCGCUCAUUGCUGGUGAUCUCCCUGCUUUGCUGUGCAUCAGAGGUUCAUUUCAUUCCCUUUUCUUUAGGUGUCAGUGAUUUGCUCUCUCUCCACCUAAACCAGAGAUCUGGCACAUCAAUACUUAGAAGGCUUAGGAGAAGAUGAAAAGAUCAAUAUUUCACUGAACUCACAAAGUUGCACAACUUCUCAGCCUCCAUUUUAAUGUCGGCUGUGGUUAGUUUGUUUUUUUUUCUGUAAGCUAAGUGAUUUCAGCUUCUCUUUGAGUCCCACCUGUGUGAAUAUCUUGGUUUUCUCCAUUGUUAACAAGGAACUGUGAAGAGGUUGUCCAGGCUCACUAGUCAGGCAGUACUGAGGUGGCUGACUUCUAGGAAAAGCCACAGCAAGAAUAAGUGAGAGACAGCCUACGCACGGCUUUUGCUGGUCUUUAGCUUAUGCUCCAACUCAUGCUCAUGUUAAACAAAUGGCCAUUAGCAAUUGUAACAGACAAAUGCAAAGAAAAACGAGCCAGAUGCUUAGUCAUGGAGCUGUGCUUAGAAAUGAUGGCCCGUUAUAAGGCAGCUUCAGUGACUACAGCAGAUCUGUGCCAGCUCACGGCAAUUUAGGAUUUGUUUUGCUCAAGUUAGUCUGUGGUCUGAAGUUUCUGAUCUUGUCCUUUGUGUGAGCUAGAUCAUGCAAAUGGGGGUGCCAGAGCCCCAAGGACAUUGAGCAGAGUGCUGCAUGAGUACUGGCGUGAGAAGGAGCAGCAAUUAGCUCAAAAUUCACGCUGCUGGCCUGUCAUUUCCGAGCUCCCCCCCCCUGCUGCUCUGUAAUGGGAAGACUUGCGCUCUAGAAGAAGGGGAGAAGAACAUUUUGCUCAUGCUCAUAUUAAUCAAGUUGUCUUGUGAGCUGCUGAAUCUGUGAAAUUGUAUCUCCCAUGGUGUUCAGUGGUAAUGGCAGUUUCCUAUGUGGACUCUCUGGCGUCUAGUAAUACAGUUGUGUUUCUGCAGUGGGUGCACUCCCAGGGUUUUUCUCCUAUGCCCACCUACUUCCACAGCACUUGUAGGCAGCUCAAACCUUAGAGACUACCAUCCCCUGUCAAGUUUGAUCAAACUCAGUUCACAGGCUCAAAAAAUUAUUUAGGAGGGACUGACUGGCACUUGCACAGACAGUGUGAUCUCAUAAGCUUCCUUUCCUUGGGAAACUAGGCUACCAACCUAGCAACAGGGGAAAAAAAAUGCCAUCCUGCUAGCAGAAAGGACUUAAACACUGGAAGAAAAGAGGGAAGGUGGGAGAGGAAAGUAAAGCUGUUUUGAAGGGGAAAAAAAUUCACUGCCUUGUGGCUGCAGAUCUCCUGCAUGCUUACAGGGCCAACCUUGGAGAGGCACACUGGAGAAAAUAUUCUCCAGAGGAUGGCAAGAUCUCUUGUGAAAAUUAGUAAGGGAGAGAUAUCACCUGGAUUCAUCUCACCACCAGGCAUCCUAAAUGGCUAUUUCUAUGGUAAGGAUUGUCUGCGGUGGUGCCUGUUUCUCUCCGCUGACUGGAGGAAGACACUGAUGCAACUAGUGUCCAACCCAUGUGCCUGCAGUGUCUGAAGUGAGGUGGGUCCUGUCCCAAAGGGAAUGAUUCUCUUACUGCUCUCUCCUUCAGGCCAAAGUUUUCUAUGGUGCUGCUACAGGGUUUGAUACUCCACGUACCAUGUUUGUAUUUUAGAAAAGCUGCUGUGUAUCUGAAUAGCUGCAGAUGUAUGCAUGGUUAUACCGGGCAUUUAUAAGCACUUAUCCUCUGUGCACUAAAACCUUUCCUGUCCUUGUAACUUACAAAAUAAAAUCCUUUAAGUGA